ensembl:lncRNA
CUUUAUUCACCCGCUUCGGCUGUUAUCAGUCCAUACAAUGGGCGUUAUUAGCAGAAAUCAGUCCCAUAGAUAUGGGCCAUCUCCACCUGCUAGAUUGUUCAGAAGGUUGUUAUCAUCCAUCCAGAUGGAGGAUCACUAACAGGAGCGUGGAAGACUCCAGAAUCCACUCUGGCUGGAACCGUGGAUACAGCAGUGUUACAGAACAGUUCUCCACAGUCGCUGUCCACAUGGGUCAGUGGGACAUAGAAGCACACUGCUAAUGUGGGACUCUGACCAGCAACAUCCAGCAAGACCCAGACAGCGUUUUCUAUCUCCCAGCUGAAGUUUUUUUGUUUGUCUGUGACUAGAGAGUCAGAUUUUUGUUGAGGCUGGAGGAACAGCCUUACACUUGCAGAGGUUAAUACAUGCUACUGAUCCCUGAUGGGAGAAUCUUCACCUCUGCCAACAAAGAAGCCUGGUGGAUAUUUGUUUACAGUCUGAUGAUGGGACAUCAUGCUCUGCAUCUUCAAAGUUUGUCUCUUGAUUAUUAUUGAUACACAAUAAUGUGAAGUAUGCUCAUAUCUAGUAUAACUGGACCAACCUGGUGCUCUUCAUUUAUGGAGGCUGUUGAGUCUGAAUGUUGGAUGUUGUGUAUCUCGUGUUCUCUGGGCUUUGUUGUCCUCAGUCUUUUUGCAGAAUCAGAAAACAAAACCAGGAUGACCGUAAAUGUUUCUUCUCCAAUUGGAUGAUGAUAAGACUGUGACACGGGAUGCCACCUUUAGUCUUGUGAUGAAGCAAAGCUCAGGAAGAAGUGUGAUUAAAUGGUACCCACAUGUGUGCUGCUGAGAAGGAUGUACAGGGGCACCUGCAGCCAAAUCCAAGCCUCCUCAGGUUUGGGGAAACCUGCAGUCAGCUGAGACUGAAGAAGUCACUUGGAUGAGUGAUUUAAACGUUUCUCCCACAAAACGCUACGUCCAGAUGAACAGAUUCAACUUUUGGAGAUUUACUUUCCUGGAUGAUUGAGAAUGCAUCAAGACGUCCUUCAUGGUGACAUCACCAGAGACAGCCCCGCCCACCUCAGGACCUCGCCAUUGAUCAUGAUGAUUAUAAUAAUGACAGCGAGCGGAACUAAGACUGUAAAAUCUACCGACCAGA